rnacentral:rRNA from 1 species
GCGUGGGGAGCGAACAGGAUUAGAUACCCCUGGUAGUCCACGCCGUAAACGAUGAGUGCUAAGUGUUAGGGGGUUUCCGCCCCUUAGUGCUGCAGCUAACGCAUUAAGCACUCCGCCUGGGGAGUACGGUCGCAAGACUGAAACUCAAAGGAAUUGACGGGGGCCCGCACAAGCGGUGGAGCAUGUGGUUUAAUUUGAAGCAACGCGAAGAACCUUACCAGGUCUUGACAUCCUCUGACAACCCUAGAGAUAGGGCUUUCCCUUCGGGGACAGAGUGACAGGUGGUGCAUGGUUGUCGUCAGCUCGUGUCGUGAGAUGUUGGGUUAAGUCCCGCAACGAGCGCAACCCUUGAUCUUAGUUGCCAGCAUUCAGUUGGGCACUCUAAGGUGACUGCCGGUGACAAACCGGAGGAAGGUGGGGAUGACGUCAAAUCAUCAUGCCCCUUAUGACCUGGGCUACACACGUGCUACAAUGGACAGAACAAAGGGCUGCAAGACCGCAAGGUUUAGCCAAUCCCAUAAAUCUGUUCUCAGUUCGGAUCGCAGUCUGCAACUCGACUGCGUGAAGCUGGAAUCGCUAGUAAUCGCGGAUCAGCAUGCCGCGGUGAAUACGUUCCCGGGCCUUGUACACACCGCCCGUCACACCACGAGAGUUUGCAACACCCGAAGUCGGUGAGGUAACCUUUA